rnacentral:rRNA from 1 species
GCAAGUCGAACGAAGUAGCAAUACUUAGUGGCAGACGGGUGAGUAACAUGUGGGUAUCUACCCUUUGGCCUGGAAUAACACGAGGAAACUUGUGCUAAUACCGGAUAAGUCUUUACGGAGAAAGCUUUAUGCACCAUUGGAUGAGCCCGCACUUGAUUAGUUUGUUGGUAGGGUAAUGGCCUACCAAGACUAUGACACAUAGCGGGUCUGAGAGGAUGAUC